GCGUGCUGGUGCCCGAAGGGCGGGUGGUGAUCUUCGGCAUCAACCCUGCAAGCUGGUGGGGAAUGCAGUCGGCGUUCACGCCGCGCGGCACGCGCC
rnacentral:tRNA from 1 species